CCAACUGCUUCCACUUCCCUUCUCAAUCAUCUCUGACCUUCCUUCUGUCAUAUUUGGGUGCUUCUGCUUCUUGCACAGCAUGAAAUUCCUUCCUCCAGUCGAUCCAAUCGAAUCGGAUGGACCCAGAGCUUCAGAUCCUGCAUUGGCUGGAUAAAGGAGGAAGUUACUGACAUCAGAACCAAGAACAGGAAGCCUCCC